rnacentral:lncRNA from 1 species
CAUCUCUCUCCUUCACGUGAAGCCAUCACCAUCACAACCGAAUCUCCUUACCUCCACCCCUGCACCAUAAAAUAUAACCCAUAACCAACAUUGCAUCACAUAUACACAUACUCCCUUUCAAAUGCUACUUAUUAAACACAACUCGUCUGCAACCGCCAACCGUGUCAGAACCGCGUUCACCACCAACGUCACACACCUCCAC